UGCGUAGGCGGCUUUUUAAGUCGGAUGUGAAAUCCCUGAGCUUAACUUAGGAAUUGCAUUCGAUACUGGGAAGCUAGAGUAUGGGAGAGGAUGGUAGAAUUCCAGGUGUAGCGGUGAAAUGCGUAGAGAUCUGGAGGAAUACCGAUGGCGAAGGCAGCCAUCUGGCCUAAUACUGACGCUGAGGUACGAAAGCAUGGGGAGCAAACAG
rnacentral:rRNA from 1 species